GCCAGUGUGGUGUAGUGGUUUGGGUGUUGGGCUAAGAUUCUGGAGACUAGGGUUCAAAUCCCUGCUCAGCCA